GUAAGUGGAGGAAACACACUUAACAGGAUUUCUAUAGUAAUGGCGAUUGAACAGGGAUUUGCUCAUGCUGACAAUCGAAGCUGCCUGCUUAGAAUUGUAUUUAAUAGUUGCAUCAUCAACAAGUUUGCAUGUGCAAAUCCUUCGGGGAAGGGUAUCAAUGAAGGUGAAAAUCCUGUUUGUCAUGUUGCAAAAGUUUGUGUACGAUGUGCUUCCAAGAGUCGCAUUCCUUGACAUUGGAGUGCAAAUUGGGUGGUAAAGUUCAUCUUAAGCUGAAUAUUGGUUUGAGACCGAUAGUAAACAAGUACCAUGAGGGAAAUGUGAAAAGUACUUUGAAAAGAUAGUUAAAAGUGCCUGAACUUGCUGAGAUGGAAGCAAACAAACUUGCACAGUGGACCUGGGAUUGCUUGACAUUAGCAAGUUACAUGGUUUUACAAGGCUUUGCAACAUCAUCACACUUGCUGAUUUGACGUGCUUCCCAUUUCCAAGCUACAAUCAGAAAGCUUGUGUCAACUACCAGUAUGCUAAUGCUAAUCCAGUUCCUGGCUGCAUGGAAUAAUGUGUUGCUUGACUUAUUUCCUGAGUGUUUGAUGUCUUGCUUCCCCUGAUCGGAAUUGCAGGGUAUAUAUGCAAGCACGUAUGCGUCAGCAUACAAGUUGUUUUGACCCGUCUUGAAACACGGACCAAGGAGUCUAAUACUUGUGCAAGUUUGUGAAUCGAUAUUGUUCAAAUGCGCAAUGAACAUGGCAGGUAUGAUGUGUGCACAAACAGCCAACCAAUUAAUUGUAAGUGGUUUGAGUUUGAGCAUGUGUGUUAGGACCCGAAAGAUGGUGAACUAUGCUUGAGAAAAGUAAAUUCAGGGGAAACCCUGAUGGAGGCUUGCAGCGGUACUGACGUGCAAAUCGUUCGUCAUACUUGAGUAUAGGGGCGAAAGACUAAUCGAACCAUCUAGUAGCUGGUUCCUUCCGAAGUUUCCCUCAGGAUAGCUGGAAUUAUAUAGUUGUUUCAUGUAAAGCGAAUGAUAAGAGGAAUUGGGGACAUGCUGUCCUUGACCUAUUCUCAAACUUUAAAUGGGUAAGGUCUGAUGGUUGCUUGCAUGAACUGUUUGGGUGCAAUGUGAAUUCUAUGUGGGCCAUUUUUGGUAAGCAGAAUUGGCGAUGAGGGAUGAACCUAACGUUGGGAUAAAGUGCUUCACUGCUCGCUCAUCAGAUACCAUAAAAGGUGUUGGUUCAUUUUAACAGCAGGACGGUGGUCAUGGAAGUCGAAAUCCGCU
rnacentral:rRNA from 1 species